rnacentral:rRNA from 1 species
AUUGAACGCUGGCGGCAUGCCUUACACAUGCAAGUCGAACGGUAACAGGUCUUUCGGGAUGCUGACGAGUGGCGAACGGGUGAGUAAUACAUCGGAACGUGCCCAGUAGUGGGGGAUAACUACUCGAAAGAGUGGCUAAUACCGCAUGAGAUCUAUGGAUGAAAGCAGGGGACCUUCGGGCCUUGUGCUACUAGAGCGGCCGAUGGCAGACUAGGUAGUUGGUGGGAUAAAAGCUUACCAAGCCUACGAUCUGUAGCUGGUCUGAGAGGACGAUCAGGCACACUGGGGAUGAGACACGGCCCAGAGUGCUACGGGAGGCAGCAGUGGGGAAUUUUGGACAAUGGGCGCAAGCCUGAUCCAGCAAUGCCGCGUGCAGGAUGAAGGCCUUCGGGUUGUAAACUGCUUUUGUACGGAACGAAAAGUCUUGGGUUAAUACCCUGGGAUCAUGACGGUACCGUAAGAGUAAGCACCGGCUAACUACGUGCCAGCCGCCGCCGUAAUAC